GACGAACGCUGGCGGCGUGCUUAACACAUGCAAGUCGAACGAUGAAGCCAGCUUGCUGGUGGAUUAGUGGCGAACGGGUGAGUAACACGUGGGUGAUCUGCCCCAAACUUUUGGAUAAGCCUGGGAAACUGGGUCUAAUACCGAAUAUGACCGAUACUCGCAUGGGUGUUGGUGGAAAGCUCCGGCGGUUUGGGAUGGGCCCGCGGCCUAUCAGCUUGUUGGUGGGGUAAUGGCCUACCAAGGCGACGACGGGUAGCCGGCCUGAGAGGGCGACCGGCCACACUGGGACUGAGACACGGCCCAGACUCCUACGGGAGGCAGCAGUGGGGAAUAUUGCACAAUGGGCGCAAGCCUGAUGCAGCGACGCCGCGUGAGGGAUGACGGCCUUCGGGUUGUAAACCUCUUUCACCAGGGACGAAGCGAAAGUGACGGUACCUGGAGAAGAAGCACCGGCCAACUACGUG
rnacentral:rRNA from 1 species